rnacentral:lncRNA from 1 species
UUUUUUUUUUUUUGACCAUAGAGCUUUUUUUCUUCUUCUUCUUCUUCUUUUUUUUUUCCUGUGGCAUAUGGAAUUCCCAGCCCAGGCAUCGGAUCUGCGCACAACACUGGAUCCCUGAGCCACCGUGCCAGGCCGGGGAUUGAACUUGCAACCCAGCACUCCAGAAAUGCCACUGAGCCCAUUGAGCCAUAGCAGGAACUCCUAUAGGGCUAUUCCCACCCCCACCCCCCAUAUUGUAACAUUCCACAGGAUAUUCCCAGUUUGAAAUGCUAGAGGGAAGUGUGGGUAUGAAAUCAGGGUUAAUGAUAAAGAUCUGGGAGGCAACAUCUUAGAAGUGAUUGUUUAAACCAGUGGUUCUCCCAAUUUAAAUCCUCACUGAAGGGGAGUUCCCGUGGUGGCACAGCACCACAUGCUGGGUUAUUCACAGACAGCAGGCACAGGAUGUGUCUAGUGAUUAUGGGCAGGUUUCAGGGAUCCUACAGCCUAGAUUCAAACCAGGCUAUGUGACCAUGAGUAGGUUGCUUCAUCUCUUUGUGCCUCAAUUCCUUCAUCUCUAAAACAGGGUUAAUAGAGCUAAUAAGGCUUUUACAAAAACCCUGUGGAACAGUUGCCAAACUUAACAAAUGAAAAUACAGGAUCCUGGAGUUCCCGUCAUGGCACAGCGGAAACGAAUCCGACUGGGAACCAUGAGGUUGCAGGUUCAAUCCCUGGCCUCACUCAGUGGGUUAAGGAUCUGGCAUUGCUGUGAGCUGUGAUGUAGGCCGGCGGCUGUGCUCUGAUUCCACCCCUCGCCUGGGAACCUCCAUAUGCCACAGGUGCAGCCCUAAAAAACAAACAAACGAACAACAACAACCAAAAAAAAAAAAAACAACUGAAGGUCCUCUUAAAACACAAAGAGCACUGGGCCCCACCCCCAAAAGACCUGAUUCUGUAUGACUGGGUCAAAAGCUGAGAAUGUGUAUUUGCUGUCUGUUUUCCAGGUGCUAGUCCAGUACCAUACUUUGAGAACCACUGAUGUGAUAGAUGCCCUUUCCAAAAAAGCUUACAGAGAAAGAAAUAGGUUUAGGGUUAUAUGCUAGUGUUCCCAGCACAGGCUGGAGAACUCACUGUACCAGGCAGGAGCAGAAAAAGGGAAAGUGACAAAAUGACAAAUUGAUACUGCCCAAAGGAAGAGAAUUUCCAGGAGGUUCCUGGGCCAUGGGGUCAAGUACUCAGAGAACAAGAAGAGGAUGAAGUAGGGUCGUUAAGAUAAAAUACAGGACUCCUAGUCCAAUUUCAAAUUUGGAUGAACAACAAAUGAUUUUUAAGUUUGUUUAGUAAGUUUUAUGUACUUAGUUCCAACUGAUGAUGGUUUGACUCAAGGAUGGUGUGAAAGUGAUGUGUUCUUUAGAGAAUGCGCUUUGAAUUUUGAACUUGAUUUUUUCCAGGCUGUCUAUGUAUGGGACAAUCCUCGCUCGUGACGCUGCCAUAGCUGACAGCCAGCCAGCAAUCAUGAGAGUAAACAACCUGCACACUUACAACCAUUCUGUAUCCACACAACUAUUGUUUUUCACUUUCAGUACAGUAAAAUACAUGAGAUACUUAACCAUUUAUCCUAAGACAGGCUUUGUGUCAGAUGAUUUUGCCCAACUGGAGGCAAAUGUAAGUGCUCUGAGCACAUUUAAGGUAGGCUAGGCUGGGCCAUGAUGUUUGGUACAUUAGGUGCAUUAAAUGCAUUUUUUGACUUAUGAUGUUUUGAAUUUAUGAUGGGUUUAUCAGGACACGACCCCAUCCCAAGUCAAGUAAGAUCUGUACUAAAAAUAUCACAUUACUUAGGAGUUCAAAUUUAACCUGACGCAGUGUUUUUAUUUGUUAAAUCUGGUAUCCCUAGAAAGGUAAUGGAAAGGCCCCAGGAUUUGCUGAAAAGACAGAACUUGGAGAGCCUUUCAGUGGAGUGUUGGGGGCAGGAGCCAGAAGCUGAUAAGCUACAGAGGAAACAGCCGUGGAACAGGGCUAUGGUGGUCCUGCCUUGGGGCCUCCAUGUACAGGGAGCCCAGCAGCUAAGUAGGGGGCUUCGCUGCUGGUCCUGCCCUGACUUGGAUCCCAGCCCUAAAGCUAGCCCUUCUUGCUGUGGCUUAUGCCCAAGCUCCCUACAUGGGAACACUUGGCACCUGGGUGCUUGAGUAUCUAUCUGCGAAACACACUUAUAUUCUUAGGUCACAAAACUGAAGACGUGUCUGUUCAGAACCUCCUGAAACAGAGUAUGUAAUAAAAGUGCAUUGAACUGAAAGCAUUUAAUUUAUACACAACACAUUCCUGGAUGUUUACAGAGACUUAGGCCACUUUUAACGGCUUGUGUAUUUUUCUUUCUGCAAAAGGUGUGGAAUAGAGUAAACCUUUUAAGUGAUCAAUUAGUUCCAAGGUUUUCAUUCUGGAAAAAUGUAUCUCUGUGUAACAAUUGAGACCUGAGAUAAUGAAGUAAUAUUUCACUGUAUAUAAAGCAUCUGGCACCAUGCCUGGCACAUAGUAGAGACUUAAUAACAGUAAUUAUACAUGCAUGUGGAGGAUACUACACAUUUUGGGCAGGGAGAAAGAUUUCUUAAAAACUAUCACACUGCAAUAUUUUAACUGAAUGUUGUUAUAUAAUUAGUGCAAUGUACCUAUUCUAAUAGUACAAUGUACCUGUCACACUGUUUGGCACAUAGUAAUCCAGUAAAUGCGAGCUAGCACUAUUGCCCUCGAUUCACAUGCUAUUAACUGUCUCCUGUUAGAAUCAGCCUUGGAGUUCCCCUUGUGGCUCAGGAGUUAACAAACCUGACUAGUAAACAUGAAGACUCCCUGGCCUUGUGCACUGGGUUAAGGAUCCAGCAUUGCUGUGAGCUGUGGCGUAGGUCACAGACGUGGCUCUGACACAGGCUAGGGACUGCAGCUCCGACUGAACCUAGCUUGGAAACCUCCAUAUGGUGUGGCCCUAAAGGACAAAAAAUGAAAAAAAUUAAAAAUUAAAAAAAACAAUCAGCCUUUCUCCCUGUCCAGAAGGCAUGGUUCCUGCUAUACACACACACACACACACACACACUCACACUGGAGGCUGAUCGUGGAGCAGUGAGGUGGUCAGGUAUAGACUGCGUCCAGUGAACUGCAAGUACACACACACACACACACACAGGAGGCUGAUCGUGGAGCAGUGAGGUGGUCAGGUAUAGACUGCGUCCAGUGAACUGCAAGUACACACACACACACACACAGGAGGCUGAUCGUGGAGCAGGGAGGGGGUCAGGUAUAGACUGCGUCCAGUGAACUGCAAGUACACACACACACACACACACAGGAGGCUGAUCGUGGAGCAGUGAGGUGGUCAGGUAUAGACUGCGUCCAGUGAACUGCCUUCCAAAAUGAAACUCAUGUCCACCUGGCUUAGAGAAAUAGUCCCAGCCAUCACCACACUCUGCCCUUUGUGGAAGGUCAGGGCUUAUUAUGGGGUGUCUAUUGCAUUGAGAAUACCUGAGGAAGACUGUUCUUUUUUUCCAACAGUGACGGCAACUGCUUAUAGCAUUUGACAGUGUAAUAUCUGCCCUUUUUCAGAGCAUGGAAAGAGGUGUACUGAUGGAAGGAAGAGGGCCUUCUUCAAUAGGCAGGUGUCGGCACAUGCCGGAGGGAAGAGCUUUAUUGCUGGUCAGGCAUCUGUGCCCUGUAGCAUGUUAACAGAUUUCUAUUUCACUGAUUUCAUUUUUCCUUCUUAAAAACAUCCCAGCUUAACAAGAGCCUUUGAGGGAAAAAGUCCAGCAACAAACUUCUGGCAUCUCCUUGGCAACCAGCCACUCGAGCUACUAGUGUCAUAUUCACAAAUGAAAGUGAUGGAAAAUAGGGAGUUUUAUUACUAUUUUUGGUUUGAGGAAGCCACAGUUUUGAACACUAAAUGCGAUAUUCAAAUGAAACGUUCUGGGAAGUUCUGCAGGGCUGGCCAAGGUAACCUACAAUCUCAACUCACCUUUGAGGUCACUAUAAACACUCCCAGUGUUCUAACAGUGGAUGGCUUUACUCAGUAACUUGGGGAGAAUCCCAGACCAGCACCUCAAAGCCCUGACUUUCAGACAUGGAUCAUCGCCAGCUCAACAUGUCCUAGGAGCACUGUGCCAACAAGUACAGUGACUUACCAGUCCUGACACUCUGUGGAGAUUCACUGUCAGAGGCUCCAGUGGAAACAGAGGGAAAGAUAAAGAGCUUCUGUCCAGAAUUUAUGAUGCUCUACAGCUACCUGAUCUUUAUGUAUUUUUUUCUAAGGUUUCCAAAUUGCUUUAGGUCCUGUGGAUUCUUCCCAGGAUGAAGAUGGAGAGGAAGCAAGGAUGCAAACAUCAUAAAACACACCCCCAAACACCGCCCCAAAAGAGGUUACAUCCCAUAGCUUUGGGAACAUAACUCUUAAUGCAAAACCUGAUCUGGACUUCAUGAGAGACACACAGAGCAAACUCUACACAAUGUGUCAGAGUUCCUAAAGUAAUUCAAAAAUCAUUGAAAAUAUCUGAGAAAAGUUUAAAAGACAUCUUUUAUUGGUUUAUUAGGAGGCAAAGCUAUAAGGUGCAUGCAGGCCUCUUAGUCACUGAAAGUAAAUUUGCCAAAGGUCACACACCAAAUCUGCCACCACUGCCCACUUACCAGCUGAACGGCCACAAUCUGAACUUGCAGACUUUGGAGACUGCUGUGUUCUCUAAGAAGAUGGUCUUGAAAGUGCUGCUCUGUGACUGGUUCCUGCCUAUGGCGUGAGGGUCGCACUGAAGGCAUUCGGGGCAUGAUGUUUACUAUCACCGAUCUAAUGGUCAGGAUUUAUCGGUUCUUUGAAGAAAUGUUAAGGAAGUAGGGAGUGAAAGGGGAAGAAAACACAUUUAUAAAGUACAGUGAAGCUUCUGACCUAAGUACACUGUGUCUGAAGUACGCUGUUAAAAAUCUGUGAUGGCGGGUUAUGGAAAUUACCAGAAUGUGACAGAAACUGUGCUCACCUGCGGAGUUGACUUUUUCAUCAAGAGAAUGUAAGGGAGUUACCCUUACUGUUAAAUGGCCACUGUCGCCCCACAGGCGUGGCUGCUGCUUGCACCCCUGUUUCAUCUGCACCCCGACCAGGCUCAGUUUUUCAGCAGAUGGACCAUGAAAACCAUGGUUGAGACAGAACCUGAAGCCGCAGACUCUGACAACUGAUUUGUGUGGUUUUGCCCAUUUUCCUCUAAGUUUUUGAAGACCAUAGCUACUCCCUCAUCUUGAUUUAUAUGCAUAACCGGGAAAACCCGUUUUCUUAUCAAGAGUUUUGUGGUUCACCUAGGAAAAAUACAGAAAACAGUGUCUUUUAUUUUAUUUUUAUUUUUUUUGUCUUUUGAGGGCCACACAUAUGGAGCGGCCCAAGAAAUACCAAAAAGACCAAAAAAAAAAAAAAAAUGAGGUAAUAAACAUUUAUAUUCUGCUCCUACGCCCUCAAUUUGGGUCUGUUUGAGCAAGGUACUCAGUGUCUUGAUUCCCAUAAGUAGGCGUAAUAAUAAAAACAUCCACAAGGUUUCUAGAAGGACGAAGUGAGAUAACAUAUGUAAAGUAGCUAGAAUGGAGCCAGAGACUUAGUAAAUGCUCAACGCUGGAACAUUAUUAUUAUUGCCAUUUUCACUAUUACGUAAGCUGACUGAUCCAAGCAGUUAUGCCAUCAGCAUCAGUGCCGUCUCUAUCUCCCUCUUACCUGUCCUCUCGUCCUCAUCCCUCCCUCCAGCCCCUCGCAUGUCUAAUUAGAGAACCUCUUCAGGAUGCUGAUUCAGAAAUGCCCAAACCCGGUCCAGAAGGUGAACACAAACGGGGACCCAGAAGGAGCUUGGACAUGGACCAAAAUCACAACUAACUGCAGAUCAACCAUUGCUAAAAAAGACUUGGCGUUCCCACCAUGGUGCAGUGGGUUAAGAAUCUGAAUGCAACAGUUCAGGUUGCUGCAGAGGCAUGUUUUGAUCCCUGGCCCAGUGCAGUGGGUUAAAGGAUCCAGUGUUGCUGCAGCUGCAGCUUAGAUUCAAUCCCUGGCCUGGGAGCUUCCAUAUGCCACGGAUGUGGCCAUUAAAAAGGGGGGGGGGAGUUUCCCUUGUGGCCUAGUGGUAACGAACACAACUAGUAUCCAUGAGGAUGUGGGUUCAAUCCCUGGUCCCGCUCAGUGGGUUAAGGAUCUGGCACUGCCAUGAGCAACAGUUUAGGUCACAGAUGAGGCUUGGAUUUGCUGUGGCUGUGGCAUAGGCGGGCAGCUACAGCUCCACUUUGACCUCUAGCCUGGGAACUUCCAUAUGCUGCAGGUGUGGCCCUUUAAAAAAAAAAAAAAAAAAAAAAGACUAGAAACUUAUCAAAAAAUAUAUUCUACACCCAAAAACAUAAAGAAAAAACCCAAUGAGAUGCAAAUAAUCAC